rnacentral:rRNA from 1 species
CCAGACUCCUACGGGAGGCAGCAGUGAGGAAUAUUGGUCAAUGGGAGAGAUCCUGAACCAGCCAAGCCGCGUGAGGGAAGACGGCCCUAUGGGUUGUAAACCUCUUUUGUCGGAGAACAAAACCCGGGACGUGUCCCGGACUGCGUGUAUCCGAAGAAAAAGCAUCGGCUAACUCCGUGCCAGCAGCCGCGGUAAUACGGAGGAUGCGAGCGUUAUCCGGAUUUAUUGGGUUUAAGGGGUGCGUAGGCGGUGCGUGAAGUCAGCGGAAAAAUUGGGGGGCUCAACCCCGUCGAGCCGUUGAAACUGGCAGACUUGAGUUGGCGAGAAGUACGCGGAAUGCGCGGUGUAGCGGUGAAAUGCAUAGAUAUCACGCAGAACUCCGAGUGCGAAGGCAGCAUACCGGCGCCCAACUGACGCUCAGGCACGAAAGCGUGGGUAUCGAACAGGAUUAGAUACCCGAGUA